AUUGAACGCUGGCGGAAUGCUUAACACAUGCAAGUCGAGCGAGCUGUAGCAAUACAGCUAGCGGCGGACGGGUGAGGAAUACAGAGGAAGCUGCCUCAGAGCGGUGGAUAGCCCGGGGAAACUCGGAGGAAUACCGCCUGAUGUCGCAAGACCAAAGUGGGGGACCGCAAGGCCCCGCACUCUAACGUGAGCCUAUGUCGAAUUAGCUAGUGGGCGGGGUAAUGGCCAACCAAGGCGACGAUCAGUAGCUGGUCUGAGAGGACGAUCAGACACAACGAAACUGAGCCACGGUCCGGACUCCUACGGGAGGCAGCAGUGGGGAAUAUUGGACAAUGGGCGCAAGCCUGAUCCAGCAAUUCCGCGUGGGUGAAGAAGGCCUUCGGGUUGUAAAGCCCUUUAAGUUGGGACAAAAAAAUCGGCGAUAACAUCGCCGGUCUUGAUGGUACCGACAGAAUAAGCAACGGCUAACUCUGUGCCAGCAGCCGCCGUAA
rnacentral:rRNA from 1 species